AUUGAACGCUGGCGGCAUGCCUUACACAUGCAAGUCGAACGGCAGCACGGGAGCAAUCCUGGUGGCGAGUGGCGAACGGGUGAGUAAUACAUCGGAACGUGCCCAAUCGUGGGGGAUAACGCAGCGAAAGCUGUGCUAAUACCGCAUAAGAUCUAUGGAUGAAAGCGAGGGGGCCGGCAAGGCCUUGCGCGAAUGGAGCGGCCGAUGGCAGAUUAGGUAGUUGGUGAGGUAAAGGCUCACCAAGCCUUCGAUCUGUAGCUGGUCUGAGAGGACGACCAGCCACACUGGGACUGAGACACGGCCCAGACUCCUACGGGAGGCAGCAGUGGGGAAUUUUGGACAAUGGGCGCAAGCCUGAUCCAGCCAUGCCGCGUGCAGGAUGAAGGCCUU
rnacentral:rRNA from 1 species